GAUUUUCUCCUUUGGGGUUCAGCCUUCUGGGGUCCUAUCUGAGGAUCCAUUGCCAAAUGCAAGGUCAUGAAGAUUCCCCCGCGUUUCCUUCUGAGUGUAGAUUUUGGCUGUUGGAGUUGACGCGUGUGUGGUGUGAGACAGGGCCCCGCUUCACUGGUUGGCGUCUGGCUUUCCAGUUGUCCCAGUGCCACUGGGUGAGGAGACCGUUUUCUCCCCGUUGGCUCGUUUUGCACCCGUGCUUAAAAUCCAUCGGCGGUAGGCACACAGAUCCAUCUCCGAAUCUCCUUUCGAUCCCGUUGGUCUGUGCGUUCUCAGGACAGUCCCGCGCUGUUUUGAUUGCUGUGGCUUCCUGUGUAACUUUCGGAGGAGCAUGAGGCACCAUUAGGGAGGCUGGUUGGGAAGCUGCCGGAAUGAUCCAGGGCAGCGCUUGUGGGAGGGGCUGUGGCCCUGAAACAAAGCCGCGGUUCUGGGAACGAAGAGGCUGUGAUGGACUGGAGAGAGGGGAGUGGGGGAGACGUCUUGGUCCUCCUUGAUUCCAGGAAGAUGCCAGGGGUGGGAAUGGAAGCCAGUGGUCCAGGUGAGCUUGGUUAACCUCCUACUCAACGCCAGCAUGAUUUGAAGGAAGACCUGGGUCCCAGUUAUAGCUCUGUUCCACUGUGUGACCUUGGGCAAGUCGCUUGACCUCUCUGAGCACCCUCAUUGCCUCUGCAAGGUGGAUCAGUGUUCUCUGCUGCUCACACAAAGAGUCGAGUGAAGGUCAAAUGGGUCAGCUUUGCAAAGGCUGGGAGGGGCUUAAAGGCAACUGAACGUGUGGCAGAAUCGCCACCCCUAAGUUCCUGCCAGGUUCCAGCAUCUUCCUAACGGGCUGCGGGGACUAAGGGCUCCUGGCCUCCAUUGCGGCGUGUGCAGCCUGGGGCUGCCUUGGGCUGGCGCUGACAGUCAAAAUGUCUCCUUGAGCUGGGUUGAAAUCAGUUUUCUUGUACCCGCCAUCUACUUGCCCCAAAUCUGCCUCGUGGGGCUGCGUCACCCCUUUUCCUCCAGGUCGUUACCCUGCGUCCCCAGCUGGCACCUUCUCCUCUGGGGCAGGAAGGUCAUCGCUCCCUCUGCCUCCCGCUGAAGACGCAGGUCUGGGGCCUCUCUUGACUCCGUGCUCGCCCCCUCGGUGGACUCUGGUCUGAGUUGCAUUUCCCUUGGUGUUUAGAAACCGUAAAUGGUCUGACCUGGGCGGGAAAGCACAGCUCCGGCCACGGGUCCGUUUCAGGGCUGUUUCUUACCUAGUUCUUAGCUUGAGCAGAUGCACUCAGUUUCUUCUCCUGCCAGAUGAAGACUUCAUGGCAGUUGCAGGCUCUGUGGUCCAGAAUAAAUGAGAUGGUGGAUGUCAGGUGUAUUGCCCUCUGCCCCGGAAGGAGUCAAGCUUCCAGAAAGUGGUGGGUGGACGUCAUCACUCUCAUCAUCUCAAUGCCGCCCUUCAUUUUUCUCCAAGUCGGACGGAUGGGGCGCGAGCCCUGAGUUUGAGACGAGGCAGGGACAGUGGCCCAGGCCUCGUCCCCUUCCUGGCUUCCGCCUCUCUGUCUGUCUGGGACUCGUAGGUGAGGGGACAGGGUGACAGGCUCUCACCACCCCGGUUUCCUGCUCACUCAGCCGACGUGGCCAAAGCUUGCUGGCCUCAGACCAGCCCUGUGUCCACAUGUGACUCAUGACAGCUCCCUGGCCUUUGCUCCCUUCCUAGAUAUUUUCCAUCUCAAACCUUUU
ensembl:lncRNA